rnacentral:rRNA from 1 species
AUACGGAGGGGGCUAGCGUUGUUCGGAAUUACUGGGCGUAAAGCGCACGUAGGCGGUAUAUCAAGUUAGGCGUGAAAGCCCUGGGCUCAACCCAGGAACUGCGCUUAUUACUGAUAAACUAGAGUCCGGGAGAGGGUAGCGGAAUUCCCAGUGUAGAGGUGAAAUUCGUAGAUAUUGGGAAGAACACCAGUUGCGAAGGCGGCUACCUGGACCGGUACUGACGCUGAGGUGCGAAAGCGUGGGGAGCAAACAGGAUUAGAAACCCCGGUAGUCC